UUAACAGUUGUACAAAAAACUCCGUGAUCAAUGAGUUUACAUUUACACAGCUACUAAAACUAUCGGAAAAAGUUAUUAUUAAAUGCAUUCAUUGAAGAACGAGAGCUAAAAUGCCCCAAAAAAUUUUUUGACACAAGAAAAGAAGAUUUCUAGAAUAGUAGCACAAGCCUUUUUUUUCUCCCGAGGAUAAAUACGUCCCUAUUUCUAAAUCGUAAAUUAAUGGUAUAGAGCUAAAAAUUUAGUCCUUUUGCUUUUAUUUUCUUUUCUUUACCAUAGCCAAACGGCUUCGCUCACGUAAAACAAAAGAAUUAGGAAAAGAACGAGGUGAAUCGAACGAGCGAUAGAACGUAUUUGAAAUUGGAACACUUCUUAAAUUAAAUGAGCUCCGCUACACUCCAGUCUUCAUAACUGCCAUCGGGUAAAUAUCGCCGGACUAGUAGAGGAAUCUUUUUUUGUGCAAGCUC